rnacentral:rRNA from 1 species
CAGCAGCCGCGGUAAUACGUAGGUGGCGAGCGUUGUCCGGAAUUAUUGGGCGUAAAGGGUGCGUAGGCGGUCCGUUAAGUCUAGUUUGAAAGACCACGGCUUAACCGUGGGAGGGGAUUAGAAACUGGCGGACUUGAGGGUAAGAGAGGAAGGUGGAAUUCCACGUGUAGCGGUGAAAUGCGUAGAGAUGUGGAGGAACACCAGUGGCGAAGGCGGCCUUCUGGCUUACCCCUGACGCUGAGGCACGAAAGCGUGGGGAGCAAACAGGAUUAGAUACCCUGGUAGUCCUAGCCGUAAACGAUGGGUACUAGGUGUAGGUGGUUUCGAUACCAUCUGUGCCGCAGUUAACGCAAUAAGUACCCCGCCUGGGGAGUACGUGCGCAAGCAUGAAACUCAAAGGAAUUGACGG